UACGUAGGGUGCAAGCGUUGUCCGGAAUUAUUGGGCGUAAAGAGCUCGUAGGCGGUCUGUCACGUCGGCUGUGGAAAACCCGAGGCUCAACCUCGGGCCUGCAGUCGAUACGGGCAAACUAGAGUACUGCAGGGGAGACUGGAAUUCCUGGUGUAGCGGUGAAAUGCGCAGAUAUCAGGAGGAACACCGGUGGCGAAGGCGGGUCUCUGGGCAGUAACUGACGCUGAGGAGCGAAAGCGUGGGGAGCGAACAGG
rnacentral:rRNA from 1 species